GCCGACGAGUGGCGGACGGGUGAGUAACGCGUAGGAAUCUGCCUAAUCGUGGGGGACAACCUGGGGAAACCCAGGCUAAUACCGCAUACGCUCUUGAGGGGAGACUCUUAGGAGGAAAGCGGGCCUCUGAAUAUGCUCGCGCGAUUAGAUGAGCCUGCGUCGGAUUAGCUAGUUGGUGGGGUAAAGGCUCACCAAGGCGACGAUCCGUAGCUGGUCUGAGAGGAUGAUCAGCCACACUGGGACUGAGACACGGCCCAGACUCCUACGGGAGGCAGCAGUGGGGAAUAUUGGACAA
rnacentral:rRNA from 1 species